rnacentral:lncRNA from 1 species
CACUGUUCGAUUGGUCAAGAUAAAGUGGUUCUAGUGGAAUUCAGCCCUUGGUGGACAUAUCGUCUGUAUUUGCCCUGUACUGGUGAUGGUAGAGAGCUCUUCCACAACUCGUGCACAUAUCAGAAUCCUCAAGGUUUAAAACGACAGGAAGACCGUGUUUUACAUCGUUGAAAGACAAAGAAAAAGAAUCGAUCCCAGAACGUGCCGUCCUGUGUUUGUUGUUUUUGACAGUUGAAGGGAGAGUCCGGUGCAUGCCAGAUACUAUCUAUUGAUUUCAGACACUCUAGUGAGAAAUAUAUGCAGAAGAAAGAACCAAGUAUGAUAAAUCCACGACAGACCUGGCACAAGCAUAAAGCAUGACGCCACAACAGCCUCCACGACAAAAGCAUAGUUAAACAAAUUAGACAUAAGCUAACUUGUAUAUAAUUAUACCCCAACGUACAAAGUAUAUUGGGCUAUGUUGGAGUCACGCAUGUCCAGUCCAUCCGUCCGUCCGUUCGUUUGUCCACUAUGGCCGCUGGUAUGAUUUUCAUACUACUGACAUAAAUUAUAAACCACAUCAGGACGAUGUACAGAGCGCUCAACCUAGGUCACAAGGCCCAAGGUCAAGGUUACUCGUGGAGGUCAAAGGUCAAAUACCUUAGCUUUAUGUCCGCUCUAAUUGUCUAAACGGCUUUAAAACAUUUAGCUUGACUGUUAGAAGAUUAAGGAGGAUUACUGUACCUGCCCUGACGUCUGUGUCACUGUCACCGUUGCAUUGAAAGUUAAAAUUUUAGGACAAGCUUCUUAGCGUCACUGUAUAUCUUCUUACUGCUGCCCUUAUUUAAAAUAAUUUAACAUGAGACUUCACAUAAGUGUUGGUCUUGGUAAGAGAAAGACAUCUACAUGUAUUAGUUUAGGAACAAGUAUCAUAAAUGUCAAAGUCACUGUCUUAAAUAUUGUGAUAGUGCUGGUUAAAGUUUCAUGAUGAGCUUCUCAAUUUCACAAUAAACCUCACAUAAGGAUUGAUCUUAGAACUUGGCAGAAAUCUUUUUGUUUAGGGUCGGGUUGCUCAAAGGUCAAGGUUACUGGGGUCAGAUUUUGUAACAGUGUUGGUUAAAGUCUUGUGGCACAUUUCUCAAUUUGACUUAUAUCUCAUAACGUUUCCUAGAACUGGUAUCCCUCAUGUCCUAUCCUUUUUAGCUAUACCCAUACUUCAUCUACGUUCCUCCCGACAUCAAGCCAAAAAUGCAUUCCAUACAAAAACUUAUAUUUCAUGUUUCCAUCAACUCCUCUACUCCGCUGUCUUCACCUACCACCUCCACCCCAUUUUACCUAACCUUUACCCUCGCCCCUUACCCCGCCCCCUCCAUAAAAAGGAUAAAAAACUCCUUUUCGAUCUCACACAGUUACUUGUAAUGAUAACAAAAUCUUGUUAAACAUUUUCCUUAUAGUCGAGCAGACACAAUUAACUCAGAUCGCUAGGUCCAAGGUCAAGGUCACACCUAAAAAUCAAAAGUUAUGAUGACAAAAAUUUACUUUCCCUUUAUCAAAGUGAGGUCUGAGGUAUUAAUCGACGUCAGUGAUGACCUUAGUUGAUCAGGUGUUAGUGGCAUAAAUGUGUAACAUUUACUUUAUUGGGGGUAGUGGGGUGGGUGUGGGGGAUAAAGGAAUGGUCUCUGUCCAUUCGUCUGCUCGUCCGUCUGCCCUUCCGUAACACUUUUAUGUCCUAAGCCACUUGAAGGAUUUUCAUGAAACUAGGGUCAAAUGAUCACAUCAAGACGAUGCUCAGAACUUAUGAGUUUGCCAUGUCGGCUCAAGGUCAAGGUCACAACUCAAGGUCAAAGGUUUUAGCCUUCCAUUUCGUG